AUCAACAUCCAAUUAAGUACAAUUAAUCCUCAUAACCUCACAUUAAUCUUCAUUAAUUCAUACUUUAUGCCUAAUUAGAACAUUAUGCCAAUUAAUACAUUAAUUCAAAAAAUCAAAAUAAAUCAAGAUGGGAUUUUAGGGUUACCAACUUGUGACGUUUGGAGUUCUUCUCCCUCCUCACACAGACGGCGGCGGCCUCGACACUCACCUCUCCGGCGAACUUCCGUCUAUCCUCAUCGUGAACCAAAAUCGGAACGACCUCCUCCCUCGCCUCGCUCUCUCUCCUUCUCUCUUCUCUCUUCCGAUCUCAGUCUCGCUCUCCUUGCUUCUGGUUCGUUUUUUAUUCGGAUUUCUCAGAGUCUCAACUCACAAUUCCGCUCUCAUUCUUAAAUCCAUCUCAGAGCCGUUCUCAGGCUAAACGGCCAUGGCGCGAAUAGAAAGAUUGAAGGCAAGGUUACCGAUUGGGCCAAAACGUCCGAUUCUUCUUUGAACCAUGGAGAGAGACGAAGACGCAGAAUAAACGCCGAGAAACAGAUUCUUGUUGAUUGAAGAUGGUUAAAGGACAGAUUGAAGAUGGUGAAGAGAUAUUGAAGUAGGUUGUGAUGGAGAUCGAGGAAGAGAAAUUGAAGAAGAUUGGAGAGAGUUGAAUAGAAGUGAGUUGGAGAUGAAGAUUGGAGGAGAAGACAGUUCCGAGAGUGAAAGAGAUGGUGAAUGAAGGUGGUUGAGUGUGGAGAGGUUGAAGAUUGUGAAGUAAUGAAGAUGAAGCUGGGAGAAUAAGAUGAAGAUGAGAAAGAUGGGAUGAAGAUGUGAAGAAUUGGAGAGAUGAAGAAUUGAAAACCGAAGGAGAUCGAAGGGUGAUUGAAGUGAAGAUGUUAUGUGAAGGUCAUGAUCAGAAUGAAGAAGCCAGAGACCUUGAAGUGAAGCCAAGUUCCCCUCUACAGAAUCGGCUCUCAGGCCUGGCAGACUUGGUGUGUUGAAUUGCAGGGCGUAACUUAUAUGUGCAGGUCUGGAAUUGUUGUUACAAUAUGAUGCAGGAUUCUCUACUUGAAAGUUAACAGGGCCCAUGGAAGUAGGUUUGGAGAUUUGUACCUGUACAAUGGAGUUUAUAGACCAUAUGCUUAGAAGUACUCAUGUGAUGUAUCAUUUCUUUUUUCUUUCCAAAAUUGUAGAAACAGUAGAGUAGGAUUGGGAAUGUUUUUAUGAGAUCCUUUUUUGUAGUUUGGUUCUUUGUAAUGGAUAUUGGACUCUUUGUGUAGUUUUUAUGUAAUAUGGUUGAAACUUGUAAUGACUCUCUCUUUUAUGAAUCAUUCCCUUUUAUGAAUCAUUUUCCAUUUGAAUGAGCUUGUAAUACACCAUUUGAACUUGUAAUUCACCAUUUGGAUUGGAUUGAAUAUUAAAAUGUAACUUUCCACUUAUUUUUUGAGUAAUCAUUUGCUCUUGAAUACUAUGGAUUCAUGGUAUCUCGCAAUCACUAAUGAGUCUUUAUCUCCAGUUUAAUGGAAAUAUGUCUUCCACUCUCAAACUUUAAGUGAUAUGCCCUUUACUCAAACAAAUUCAUCUUAAAGGACAAUGGUGCAUCCGUUAUAACGAAUCCUCAAGUUCUAUGCCAUAGCUUUGACAAAUAUUUCUUAACAAAUGACAUUCAUCCUCACCGUAAGCUACAAAUCCUGAUUCACUUUUUUGAGAUGCACAAUGAAGAUAGGAAACUCUUGAAAUGAUGGAAACGAGAG